UAAGUGGUGAAAACUCGGGUCUGCGUCACUGGGAGUAGGUCCUUAGGAGAGAUAAGACAUUUUAAGUUCAAACUCUGAUAGAAUUUGGCAGGCCUUAAAUUCUGGCCUACUGCAUGAUGAUUAUUUUGGCAGGCCUAAAAGCCACUUCCACACCUUCUUCCGUGAUUCCUGCAUCUCAUCUUCUUGAGCUUGUCUGUGAAAACACUACUGUCCUCUUCAAGGGGGCCAGUUUUCCAUAAGGUCUACUAGAAACUUGCUGAUGCCAAGAAGCCCUGUUCAUGGACUAAGACCUUGUGUAGAAACACAGAAGUCCCAAUGAAGAUUGUGACCCGAUUGUGCUAGUUACUGUAUAAAAACAUAGCAAGAGACCAUUCCUGACAGAGACCUUAAACUGUAAGAACACAAGGCAGGCAAAGGAUGAA